GAUGAACGCUGGCGGCGUGCCUAACACAUGCAAGUCGAACGGACGGACGAUAAGCUUGCUUCGUUGAUGUUAGCGGCGGACGGGAGAGUAACACGUGGAUAAUCUACUUAUAUUACUGGUAUAAUCACGGAAAUCCGGAGCUAAUACCGUAUAAUAUUUUGAACCGUAUGGGGCAUAGGAGAAAGACGGCCUUGCGGUAUCUACUAGCUGCAUCCGCGCUUGAUUAGCUAGUUGGUAAGGUCACGGCUUAUCAAGGCGACGAUGCGUAACCGAGCUGAGAGGGUGAUCGGCCACAUUGGAACGUAGACACGGUCCAGACUCCUACGGGAGGCAGCAGUGGGGAAUCUUCCGCAAUGGGCGAAAGCCUGACGGAGCAAGGCGGCGUGAGUGAUGAAGGUCUUCGGAUCGUAAAACUCUGUUAUUAGGGAAGAACAGAUGUGUAAGUAGCUGUGGAGGUCUUGACGGUACCUAAUCAGAAAGCACCGGCUAACUACGUG
rnacentral:rRNA from 1 species